ACGCCGCGUUUCCCUCCUCUUCAGUCCAGCGGGGAAUUACGACCCCCAACGUGGCUUGGAAGAUUUGCCAGCGGGGCAGCUGGGAAAAAAAAGAAACUAACCCAGGCGCCCUGCCGGCAUCUCCUUGCUCUCACCCGACCACGUGCAGCCAUCCCUUCCACAGGGCGCCGGCUAAGCGCCAAGCCACUAACAGGCUCCCCUUCCCGUCCACGCUCCUCACUACUCACCGCCAAGACUGCCUGGAAGGAAAAGACCAAAACGCACAGCGCUCCUGCGACGUUGACCAUCUUUGCUAUUUCGAAGCAGCCGGGAGCAACUCUUUUUCUUCUCCGACUCGCCACUAGUGACGGGGGGGGGGAACUACAGAGAGAGACGCCCGAGACGGAGUGAGAGCGAACUCCGUCUUCUGAUAUAAAUCUAAUCCAAGAACCUUCACCUAGUGGCGAGGCCCCGCCCACCCCAGGAUGCAGCACCGCCCCGGCCCACCACGCCCCCGCCCUAGUCGGACCAUAAGCAGCGCUUCCUCCGCCCGCUAGGCUUUCCUGUUCGUCCUUUUUUUUCCCUCUCUCGAAGCUGACGAGAUCCUUCAUCUCACGUACCUCGCUGUACCUUCGUCAAAUCCUCCACAAGAAGUUGCUCACCCCCCUGAUUUCACAUGGCCCUGCAUGAAAACCACGAGAGUUUCGUUUCAGGAGCCCCCCGCCGCCAAUUUGUUGGCCCCUGACUUCAUUUUUUCCCUUAGGCGUGAUUCCCAACCUCCGUCUGAAAACAGGCAGAGUCAACGUGGAAAAUAGUUCCUGUCGUGAUAGUUAUUCAGUUUGGCCGUGCGUGUGAAUGUAUAUUAAAUUGCUAGGCCAAGCAAGAUAAAAGAGUGAGACUCUAGCACCUGGGAGCGGCAGUAAAGCAAGCAAAAUCCCUGGAACAAAAGAGCAGAGAAACUCUCGCGGGUGGAGAAAGGAAGAAGAGAAGGAGCCUGCGAGCCUCAUGCCGGAUGCACCUCAGAUUUGUUGCGAGCGCUUUGCCUUCGGAUUUCCCUCAUUUGAUUCCUGCGCUUAUCAGGACUUUGAAGUGAGUCCGAUCCGGGAUAUUGACGACAUGCGCGAUUUAUAGCUGUGUUUCCUUAACGGCCCUUCAGCCGCAAGCCACUUCAAAAUCCAGUUGUUUAGAUUUUGAAGCUGAUGAAGUUGUGUGACUUGGGUCUGGCAGCAAAAGGAGGGGGAUGGCUGUGACUAACAUGAAGGGACCUUGAAGUUCUGAGUUUGCCACUACACUACUGCAGGAAGUGAAAUUAUGGGGAAAGUUUUGCCAGCUGUCAGGUUAAAGGUUCACAAGAAAACCAAGAACCAAGAGACGGAUGUACGAAUCUUGACAGUUCAAUGGACCAAAGAAUAUCCAGUGAUCAGUGUGUCUUGUGUGAAUUACUUAUUUACAAAGGUUGGCCAAUGCACUUCAGGAAAAAGUAUAGGGAAUGUUGAUAUUAUUGAUACUAGAUGCUGUUAUUUGAUCUAUUGAAGUGUGAAGUUUUUUCCCCCUCUUAUUUAAACUUUUGGUAUAAUACAGGGAUGAGAAUCUUGUGGCUCUCCAGAUGUUGUUGAAUUACAACUCCCAUCAUCCCUCACUGUUUGCCAUGCUGGCUGGCGCCUAAUGAGAGUUGGAAUCCAACAAUAUCAGCUGAUUUAAUGUGUUUAUAUUGAAAUAUUUUAUAGUAUUUAUUAUGUAUUUAUGGUUAUUGUGCUGUCAUUGUAUUUAGAUUGUUGUCUGUGAUUGCUUUGAGCACAGUAUAUUUGUGAAAAAUGUAGCAUAAAAAUAAACUGACUAAGACUAAGGAGAUAUUUACUUGUGAAAAGCUGAGCUGAAACCUGAUGCAGGAGCCUGCAUUUUUACAAGGUUCAUCAGGCAGAAAUUGCUGGUGCAUUCACUGUUUUCACAUGGUGAAAGUAAUACAUUCUGCAUUUGCUCACAGGCUCUUUUUCUUUCAGUACAAAUUGGUAAACUAUGGAUAGGUGCCUCCUUUUACCAUGUUAGAGAAUACAACUGGGAUGUCAGACAGCUGUACAUCCUGAUCCUAUCAAUAUUUACACCUUGAGUUGGAAACACGUGAGCUUCUGGAUGUUGUUGGACUACAGCUCCCAUCAGCCCCAGCCGGCAUGGCCAAUGGUUAGGAAUAAUGGGAGAUGUAGUCCAGCAAUAUUUGGAGGGCUACAGGUUCCGCAUCCCUUAUUUUUGCAGAAGUAUGUCCUCCUGGUUUAGUAGGACCUACUUGCAAAUUGAGCAUGGAUGCCAACAGGAAGCAAUCUUUGCUGUGAAAGCAAUUAUUAAGAAGCAUAGCCAAAGAACUUCAAGCCCAAAGAUAUGGCUUGCAACUUUUAUGAUUACUCAGAGGGCUGCAAAACAGCUUCUGUAUUUCUCAGCAUAUUUUUACUCUGACAACUCCAUUGAUCUCCAAUGUAGCUCACUUCAAAGGAGGUAUGUUUAGGGAGAGCAGCCAGUUGCUCCAAUCCUCUUGCUAGGGCAAUCAGUAUGCAGAAUCAGGGCUCUUUGAGAAGAUAAUCACCUCUGUGGUUCAGGUUGCAGAUUCCUGCAAAAGGGUGGCUAUGUGGGCGUGGGGGGGGCAACAAAUCUGACAGCACUGUUCACCUCUUUGUUCACUCUCAGCUGUCCAACAAAUGAUUAAACUGGUUGAUGGAGACCAUCACGCCCAUCAGUUCUGAGGAUCUCUGAAUUUGGAAGGGCUUCGGUGUCUGCAAUAGUUGUGCGCUAGUUGAUGUUUUAGGUGGAUGGUCAAUUACAAUCCAGUUAGCAAUGCUAUAAAGAUAUGCAAAAAAGGAAGGCAGGCAGCAAAUCUUCCCAUUCGAAAUCCAUAUAAUUUGACCUCAUGAUUGUUUUGAUUUUGGAUGGUGUCAUAUGUGUAAGCCUUGUAAGUUGUCAAACUGAAUAAAAGAAUACUGGUGGUGCAAUCAAAAACUGUUCAUUCACAGCAUAAGAAGCACUUGCUGGGGCAGACCAUUGGGGUCCAGCAGCAGGCAGCUGAGAAGUUGUAAAAAACAAUAUUUCCCCAUAAUAUGUUAUACGUGCUAUAACAGCUGGUAUUUUGACAAUAUUUUGAUUGCUGACAUACAGUGGUGUUUGGUAUUUCAUUCCUUUAUUGUUGAUGCUCAUUUUUUUGUUUUUGCUCAUGACGACUAGCAAAUCUGUAACUGAAAUAAAAGGUUUGUCUCUAGCCAUGUAAGUGAA